rnacentral:miRNA from 1 species
GGAAGGAUGGGAGGGAAGGAUGGGAGGGAGGAGUAACAAAAGUGAAAACAAUUUCAAAUAGAUUUCAGUUUUUAGUUUUUGUUUUUACUUUUGUUACUCCUCCCUCCCAUCCUCCCCUCUCAUCUUCCCU